rnacentral:snoRNA from 1 species
ACCCUCCAGCUUCCUUACCGCUGAGAUUUAAACAUUGUUCUAAGUGGCUGAAAAGGAGGAAAAGGAAAAGUGAAGUGGACUUGGUGUCUCUAGCGACAGGGAAGCUCAUUUCAAACAGAU